rnacentral:rRNA from 1 species
GACGAACCGUGCGAACGUUGUUCGGAAUCACUGGGCUUAAAGGGCGCGUAGGCGGUCCCUCAAGUCGGGGGUGAAAUCUUUCAGCCCAACUGGAAAAGGGCUUCCGAUACUGGUGGUCUCGAGGGAGGUAGGGGUCGAGGGAACUAAUGGUGGAGCGGUGAAAUGCGUAGAUAUCAUUAGGAACGCCGGUGGCGAAAGCGCUCGACUGUACCUCUUCUGACGCUGAGGCGCGAAAGCCAGGGGAGCAAACGGG